rnacentral:rRNA from 1 species
UACAGAGGGGGCAAGCGCUGUUCGGAAUUACUGGGCGUAAAGGGCGCGUAGGCGGCCUUCUAAGUCGAACGUGAAAUCCCCGGGCUCAACCCGGGAACUGCGUCCGAUACUGGAAGGCUUGAAUCCGGGAGAGGGAUGCGGAAUUCCAGGUGUAGCGGUGAAAUGCGUAGAUAUCUGGAGGAACACCGGUGGCGAAGGCGGCAUCCUGGACCGGUAUUGACGCUGAGGCGCGAAAGCCAGGGGAGCAAACGGG